rnacentral:sRNA from 1 species
AAAACUUCAAUUGUUUCUACUCUGCAGGUUAAUAUGGCUCCAAAAGGGCCCCCUCCUUUCCCAGGAGUCCCUCUCAUGAGCACCCCCAUGGGAGGCCCUGUACCACCACCCAUUCGAUAUGGACCACCACCUCAGCUCUGCGGACCUUUUGGGCCUCGGCCACUUCCUCCACCCUUUGGCCCUGGUAUGCAUCCACCACUAGGCUUAAGAGAAUUUGCACCAGGCAUUCCACCAGGAAGACGGGACCUGCCUCUCCACCCUCGGGAAUUUUUACCUGGACACGCACCAUUUAGACCUUUAGGUUCACUUGGCCCAAGAGAGUACUUUAUUCCUGGUACCCGAUUACCACCCCCAACCCAUGGUCCCCAGGAAUACCCACCACCACCUGCUGUAAGAGACUU